UGCAGCUGCUCAGCUUUUCAGCAUGUCUCUUUUGCCUGAUGUGUCCUUUAAGAGGCAAUGGCACAUAUAGCUUCACACAUUGGGUUGCUCUACCUUUGUGCAGCAGUUCUUUACUCUGUAAAAUGUUCUUCUCAGUACACAAAAGCAGCUGCUGAAGAAACAGCUUCAGACUGAGAGUGCGAGAACCGACGGCAGCACCGCUAAGCAACCUCCAGUGGAGACAGAGAAGAGAGACGGAUAAGUGCACAGACGCCCACAGGAGUUUCUGUAAGAGACAAAAUUAUCAGCUUGGCUCACCUCAGCUUUAUUUCCUAUUUCCAGACCCCCAGUCACAGAGUGAGGUUUAGUGUAUACCACUGAGGAGAAGCUUGCCACGUUGAAAGCAUACGUAUCAUGCCAACGAUAUCCAGAAGUGUGAAGAAAUCCUUUCUUUCAUGAUGAACAGAAAAGAAGCUGGAAACAAGGGGCCAGGUCCAAAUCCUUUAACCCCCGAAUAACUAAGCUAUGUUAAGAACUACUAUAUAGGGCUAUCUUAUGAGAACUAUUCUAAAAUAAAGGAGAAGGGAUGGAGAACAAGAGACCCAGGACAGCUUGCCAUGGCAAAGACAUUAGGGAUGAGAGAAUGAGGAUGAGAAGACCCGAUUCUUUUGGAAAGAGAACUACAUUCAACAAGGACUCUCAUUUGCUCAGCACACUCAUGUAAAAUAUAUCACCAUAAUAAAAUCAUUUAAAAUUAAGUGUUUCUCAUACAUUAUUAUUUUAAAGCAAGUAGUAGUCAAAAGCUGGCAGCUGAUGGACAAAUGGCAUUUACCAGAACACAUGUUCAUUGAAACACAAAAUCCAUUUAAAAGAGAGGUUAUUUGUACUAUUAUGCUUAGAAA